GGUGGCUCAGUAGUAGAGUGCUUGCCUUACAUGCAUAAGGUCCUGAGUUCGAUUCCUCAGCACCA
rnacentral:tRNA from 1 species